ACUGUCUGCAUCUCCCUGCAUUCCCUGCUCCCUGCAUACCAGCAUUACCAUCAGAGGAAAGCCAUUAAAUACAGGCAGUUUUGUCUCUUUAGUGGAAAAGGUAAUGAAAGAGUGGGAUUUGAAUGCAGCAUGAUCUGAAGGUUCAUUCCAACCCAGGCCAUUCUAGGAAAUAUACAGCUGGAUUAUCUAUGACACAGCCUACCAUGAAGUGGAGAAUCCCUGUGUUUGUGCUGUCUGAAAUAUCUCUGUGGCAAGACAGAAUACACAUUCUGAAAACCCAAAAAUGCUGCAGGAAAAGCUGAUGUUGUGGAACCUCUGGACAGCCACAGCUAUACACUGAUCAAAUAUUUCUCUGGCAAACCAAAAACUCUUCUGCAGAUAUGCUGAGGGUAUAUUUGGAGGUGGCUAUGCUGUCUGACUGGGAGGCAGUGAUUGCUGGCUCAGAAAUAAGAUGUUACAGACAUCCAGCCAAGAAAAGUUGCCACAGCAGUGAUGAUGCCAUGAAUUGAAUUUAUGGGCUAUUGUGUAUUUAUCCACUGUCAUUGCUAAGCAGAACAAGCAGCAAAACUCCCAUCAGCCACAGCAUCUGUUAAGCUUUAAAGCAUAACUUCAAAAUUAGACCCUGUGUUUGCAAAUCCAGUGCCAUGCAAAGAAGUGCCAUCUGGCCUAGAUCUGUUUGAGAGUAAAUCCAUUUGUUUUGUGAAACUGAGGAGAGACAGACCCAAAAAACCACAAGGCAUUUGCAUAGAUAAUUUACAGUAGUUGACUUAGACAUGGGAAUUGACCAUUUCUGUGCAAUAGGGUAGUGAAAAACAAUGCACUUACACUAAGAUGCCAGAAUAAUCUCAUCAAGUGAGUACAAGGGGAAACUCUAUUUGGCUUUUAAAGUCUUAACAAGAUAUAAGGAUAUUUGAAAAGGAAAUGGAUUCCUGUAGGGCAUAAUAAAAUAAGAUAUGGGCCCUAAGGUAACUAUUUUACCCUCUGUAACACCAAAAAGCUGGAUCAGUUGAUUUACAGUGAGAAUUUUAAGGCAGCACAGAAGUUCUCUUUGAUCCAAAAGCAGCUAGGAGUACCAAAAAGAUGUCACAGUUGAUCAGAGUUCAGUUGAUCAAUUCAUGGUGAUAGGAACAUCUUCUGGAAUAUUGAACAGGUAAUCUUAUCUGACACUUUUUGAGGGACUUCAGAUAUAUGCCAAGAGCAUGAAAACUAAUUAUUAUUCUAAACUAUGAUAAAGAAAGAAGGUCAGAAAUUUUAAUUGCCAUCAAAUAUUUUUUCUGGAUUCUGCAUUCAUGAGUGUGAAACCCUACAGAUAUUCUUCAGAGAUACCAACAGAAGGACUAACAUUAAAUGAUGAAGAAAUUAUAUACAAGUUAUCAGUCACAAAAUAUUUCAAACUUCUAGAGUCUUUAACUGAUAGUAGCACAGUGCCUUGGGAAGCAGCCUAGAAACAGCAUUCAUAUGAAGUCAGCAUUUUUCAAGCAAAACCCUGAGGCAUACAAGUGCAGCUGUACUGAAAGAAGUUGUGCCUGGCUGUGGUUUUUGGAGUUUGAAGGUUGGGAAAUUCUUGAGAGCAUGGUGGCUGUGCAGCCUCGUAUAAUGAGUCUUGAGGAAGCCUCUGCUGAGUAAAUUCAACUGACCAUGCUUUGGAUUGUGAUGAAUAGCAAAUCAAUGCCAAUGAA